rnacentral:rRNA from 1 species
UACGUAGGGGGCAAGCGUUAAUCGGAAUUACUGGGCGUAAAGCGUGCGCAGGCGGUUAUGUAAGCCAGGUGUGAAAUCCCCGGGCUUAACCUGGGAACUGCAUUUGUGACUGCAUUGCUAGAGUACGGUAGAGGGGGAUGGAAUUCCGCGUGUAGCAGUGAAAUGCGUAGAUAUGCGGAGGAACACCGAUGGCGAAGGCAAUCCCCUGGACCUGUACUGACGCUCAUGCACGAAAGCGUGGGGAGCAAACAGG